rnacentral:rRNA from 1 species
GACGAACGCUGGCGGCGUGCUUAACACAUGCAAGUCGAGCGGUAAGGCCCUUUCGGGGGUACACGAGCGGCGAACGGGUGAGUAACACGUGGGUGACCUGCCCUCAGCUCUGGGAUAAGCCUGGGAAACCGGGUCUAAUACUGGAUAUGACUCCAUGACGCAUGUUGUGGGGUGGAAAGCCUUGUGCGGCUGAGGAUGGGCCCGCGGCCUAUCAGCUUGUUGGUGGGGUGAUGGCCUACCAAGGCGACGACGGGUAGCCGGCCUGAGAGGGCGACCGGCCACACUGGGACUGAGACACGGCCCAGACUCCUACGGGAGGCAGCAGUGGGGAAUCUUGCGCAAUGGGCGAAAGCCUGACGCAGCGACGCCGCGUGAGGGAUGACGGCCUGGUGUAACGUACUUCUAG